UCCCUGGUGGUUGAGUGGUGAAGACUCUGAGCUUCUACUGCAGAGGGAGCAGGUUUGAUCCCUGGUCGGGGAA
rnacentral:tRNA from 1 species